rnacentral:rRNA from 1 species
UGGGGAAUAUUGCACAAUGGGGGAAACCCUGAUGCAGCGACGCCGCGUGAGUGAAGAAGUAUUUCGGUAUGUAAAGCUCUAUCAGCAGGGAAGAAAAUGACGGUACCUGAGUAAGAAGCCCCGGCUAACUACGUGCCAGCAGCCGCGGUAAUACGUAGGGGGCGAGCGUUAUCCGGAUUUACUGGGUGUAAAGGGAGCGUAGACGGCGAUGCAAGUCUGGAGUGAAAACCCAGGGCUCAACCCUGGGAUUGCUUUGGAAACUGUAUAGCUGGAGUGCAGGAGAGGCAGGCGGAAUUCCGGUGUAGCGGUGAAAUGCGUAGAGAUCGGGAGGAACACCAGUGGCGAAGGCGGCCUGCUGGGCUUUAACUGACGCUGAGGCACGAAAGCAUGGGUAGCAAACAGGAUUAGAUACCC